AUUGAACGCUGGCGGCAGGCCUAACACAUGCAAGUCGAACGAGUGGCGGACGGGUGAGUAAUGUCUGGGAAACUGCCUGAUGGAGGGGGAUAACUACUGGAAACGGUAGCUAAUACCGCAUACCAUCAGAUGUGCCCAGAUGGGAUUAGCUAGUUGGUGGGGUAAAGGCUCACCAAGGCGACGAUCCCUAGCUGGUUUGAGAGGAUGACCAGCCACACGGGACCGGUGACACGGCCCAGACUCCUACGGGAGGAAGCAGUGGGGAAUAUUGCACAAUGGGCGCAAGCCUGAUGCAGCCCUGCCGGGGGUAUGAAGAAGGCCUUCGGGUUGUAAAGUACUUUCAGCGGGGAGGCGUUACCCGCAGAAGAAGCACCGGCUAACUCCGUGCCAGCAGCCGCGGUAAUUC
rnacentral:rRNA from 1 species